rnacentral:lncRNA from 1 species
AUAUGCAGAGUCCAUUGGCGAGUCCUCGUAGCCGUACAAAAUAAGACGUCACGAUAUAUACAGUCGGAGGAAACGCCAGUCCUGCUCCCGUGCCCACCAGUACACCAUAACUAGGAACGGACAGGCAUAUCCUGCGACGAUCUCGCUAAUCACGAUCUCAAAAAAGGUAGAAAAUUAAAUUACCUAACGCAUAAGAAGGCCACAGAGUUAGCGAAAUAGCUCAGCAUCAUUCCCGCCGCGGCGAAUGUUCCUCCUAUCAAAGUCACCGUGCGGUAGGAAUAUUUGACCGAAAGUACACUAGAGAGUGGACCUGAAACGAAGAGAAAUCCUCGCUCAAUCCUGAAUUCACCGAGGAGGAAGAUCUCAGAAAAAAAAUCCGAAGCUUUACCCAGUGAGCUGUACAAGAAAUAACAAAGCGCCGGUAUCCACGCAGCUGCCGCCGGUGACGCGUCGAAUACCUCGAGGAAUUCGACGAACAGCACUCCGAAGGAUUUGACAGUGCCAGGGAUGAGGAGAUUGACCAUAACGGAGGCCAGAAGCACCAGCCAUCCCCAGCCGCCGUCCGGUGGGACUAAUUGUUCUUCUUCUACCUUCACAUCAUUCUCUGUAAAUAUAAACGAAGCCGUUUCAUUUGUAAACGGAAUACGGGAAAAUAGCAGUAGUUUGCAUAUUAAUAAUCCUAUGCAAGCUAUUCGUGGGAAAGCUGAGCAAACGACAGCAAUUACCCAAACAACGAACAGAUAAUAACUAUGUGUAUUCUAUGGAAACCUGUUCCGACGAUAAGGAAAUGGAAAUAGGGAAGUCACUGGUAUCGUGUGUAACGAACGCACAAAAAGUAAUACCAUGUUGCUAGUUCGCGCGUUGGAAAGAGAAAGGGCAAAAUAACAGAUAUGUUUUGUUUGUGUGCGGACAAUGGAAACUGUUGCAAUGUCCCCCGUCAUGAACAAAGAGUAACAUUCAUCGAUAUCGACGACAUUGUAACGCCAAUGCUGGCCACCUCACACGCGGAAGUCAUAUCCGUUACAACGCAACGUCUGACUUGCUUUUAUGUGAAUGCUCGAAUAAUAGAUGCUUCAAAAGGAAUCGAUUAAAAUCUAAUUAACGUAAUCAAAUUCCUUUCAAGCGGAAUCUUCUACUUCUAUUUCUUCGAGAUUAUUUUCUUCUUGCCUCUGCGAAGAAAAGAUCGCUUCGAUCCCUCUCCCUAGAAACCUUCGAAAUAUUAAAACUUGACAUAUCACUGUAUGUAUUCACAAAACAAAGAGAAAAAAUUUCUUCUAAAAAUUUAUUAGAUAUAUAUCGCGACCUUCUCUUAAUGGCUUUUCGUGAGUUUACUCGAAGCAUUUCAGCGUUUAGGAAGAUCGCCAAUAAUGAGAAAUUUUCUCGAGCGUACACAUAAUGCACUUGUUGAUAAUCGUGAUUAAAUCAACGAAGAAGACGAACUAAUGUGCAGGAUAUUGUAGCGACAAACAUUGGCAUCAUACGAAGUAUUUUGUGAUUUUGUGUGUGUCAGUUUUACAUUCACUCAAUUUACCUCUUGGCUCGCAUGCCAAUUUUUCAUUCGACUCUUCUAUUUAUAAAAGUCCCGUCUAUAACGGUCGAUCAUUAAGAACGAAAGAUAGAGCGAUGUAAAAAUGGAAAGAGACAAAAGAACACGAAUCUGUAUGUAAAGAAAAAUCUACAUUUAUAUAAAAGUCACGAAAAUUAUAAGAGUGAAAACUUUCCUAAUGACUUACGAAAAUGACAUACGUAAGUUUAAUAAUCAAAUCUUCAAUUCAUGAGAACGAGUAUGAUUCACGUAGAAUAGUACACGGCUUUACAUUGCUUUUUCGACAUUUCGAACUGAAAGACCGCCUUUACUAACACUUACUUAAUGUACGUGAUUUAACGACAUGAUAUGCGUAUCUUACACAAAACCGAAGAAACAAUGUUAGAGUUCGCUAUUAACCGAGACUGAAGUCUGUAAAAAAAAAAGCAUUGUGAAAAAAACAUGCAAAUCCAAACAGAAAAAUAACACGUCCCUGAACCGUGACCGAGAUUAUCAAUAACAUCAGCUGGAAUGCCAGAGUCAAAAGGAAAUCAUUACGCUUGACUCUCGUUGCAUCCUGAACAUGAGAGACAACGGUGAUUCAUUUCCCAAUGAGUGACGAGAGUAAAAAUUUGACGACGGUGAUGUUAUCUCCAAGAUUAAAGUUAAUCGAGCACCAGAGAGAAAAAAGAGGAAGCUGUGAUUCUCUCGACUUUCUUAGAAAGGACCGGCGGGAGGGGAAGUGAACGAUUCGCUUGUUCCAGGCCCGUGUUUUAAAUAACCAUCGGCCACACUCACCUAACUU